rnacentral:rRNA from 1 species
UACGGAGGGUGCAAGCGUUAAUCGGAAUUACUGGGCGUAAAGCGUGCGCAGGCGGUUUGUUAAGUCCGUUGUGAAAUCCCCGGGCUCAACCUGGGAACUGCAUUUGUGACUGUAGAGCUGGAGUACGGUAGAGGGGGAUGGAAUUCCGCGUGUAGCAGUGAAAUGCGUAGAUAUGCGGAGGAACACCGAUGGCGAAGGCAAUCCCCUGGACCUGUACUGACGCUCAUGCACGAAAGCGUGGGGAGCAAACAGG